rnacentral:rRNA from 1 species
CCAUGGGAGUGGGUUGUACCAGAAGUAGAUAGCUUAACCUUUUGGAGGGCGUUUACCACGGUAUGAUUCAUGACUGGGGUGAAGUCGUAACAAGGUAACCGUAGGGGAACCUGCGGUUGGAUCACCUCCUUACC